rnacentral:rRNA from 1 species
CGCUUCUUUUUCACCGGAGCUUGCUCCACCGGAAAAAGAAGAGUGGCGAACGGGUGAGUAACACGUGGGUAACCUGCCCAUCAGAAGGGGAUAACACUUGGAAACAGGUGCUAAUACCGUAUAACAAUCGAAACCGCAUGGUUUUGAUUUGAAAGGCGCUUUCGGGUGUCGCUGAUGGAUGGACCCGCGGUGCAUUAGCUAGUUGGUGAGGUAACGGCUCACCAAGGCUACGAUGCAUAGCCGACCUGAGAGGGUGAUCGGCCACAUUGGGACUGAGACACGGCCCAAACUCCUACGGGAGGCAGCAGUAGGGAAUCUUCGGCAAUGGACGAAAGUCUGACCGAGCAACGCCGCGUGAGUGAAGAAGGUUUUCGGAUCGUAAAACUCUGUUGUUAGAGAAGAACAAGGAUGAGAGUAACUGUUCAUCCCUUGACGGUAUCUAACCAGAAAGCCACGGCUAACUACGUGCCAGCAGCCGCGGUAAUACGUAGGUGGCAAGCGUUGUCCGGAUUUAUUGGGCGUAAAGCGAGCGCAGGCGGUUUCUUAAGUCUGAUGUGAAAGCCCCCGGCUCAACCGGGGAGGGUCAUUGGAAACUGGGAGACUUGAGUGCAGAAGAGGAGAGUGGAAUUCCAUGUGUAGCGGUGAAAUGCGUAGAUAUAUGGAGGAACACCAGUGGCGAAGGCGGCUCUCUGGUCUGUAACUGACGCUGAGGCUCGAAAGCGUGGGGAGCAAACAGGAUUAGAUACCCUGGUAGUCCACGCCGUAAACGAUGAGUGCUAAGUGUUGGAGGGUUUCCGCCCUUCAGUGCUGCAGCUAACGCAUUAAGCACUCCGCCUGGGGAGUACGACCGCAAGGUUGAAACUCAAAGGAAUUGACGGGGGCCCGCACAAGCGGUGGAGCAUGUGGUUUAAUUCGAAGCAACGCGAAGAACCUUACCAGGUCUUGACAUCCUUUGACCACUCUAGAGAUAGAGCUUCCCCUUCGGGGGCAAAGUGACAGGUGGUGCAUGGUUGUCGUCAGCUCGUGUCGUGAGAUGUUGGGUUAAGUCCCGCAACGAGCGCAACCCUUAUUGUUAGUUGCCAUCAUUCAGUUGGGCACUCUAGCAAGACUGCCGGUGACAAACCGGAGGAAGGUGGGGAUGACGUCAAAUCAUCAUGCCCCUUAUGACCUGGGCUACACACGUGCUACAAUGGGAAGUACAACGAGUCGCGAAGUCGCGAGGCUAAGCUAAUCUCUUAAAGCUUCUCUCAGUUCGGAUUGUAGGCUGCAACUCGCCUACAUGAAGCCGGAAUCGCUAGUAAUCGCGGAUCAGCACGCCGCGGUGAAUACGUUCCCGGGCCUUGUACACACCGCCCGUCACACCACGAGAGUUUGUAACACCCGAAGUCGGUGAG